AAGGAACGCUAGCUAUAUGCUUAACACAUGCAAGUCGAACGUAGUUUUCGGGGAGCUAGGCAGAAGGAAAAGAGGCUCCUAGCUUUGUCUCGCCUUUCCUUGUGGGAACAGUUGAGAACAAAGUGGCGAACGGGUGCGUAACGCGUGGGAAUCUGCCGAACAGUUCGGGCCAAAUCCUGAAGAAAGCUAAAAAGCGCUGUUUGAUGAGCCUGCGUAGUAUUAGGUCGUUGGUCAGGUAAAGGCUGACCAA
rnacentral:rRNA from 1 species